rnacentral:tRNA from 1 species
GGGAAUGUGGCUCAAUGGUAGAGUGCUUGCCUAGCAUGCAUGAAGCCCUGGGUUCGAUUCCCCAGUACCA